AUUGAACGCUGGCGGCAUGCUUUACACAUGCAAGUCGAACGGUAACAGGCCGCAAGGUGCUGACGAGUGGCGAACGGGUGAGUAAUGCAUCGGAACGUGCCCAGUCUUGGGGGAUAACUACUCGAAAGAGUAGCUAAUACCGCAUACGAUCUAUGGAUGACAGCGGGGGACCGUAAGGCCUCGCGCGAUUGGAGCGGCCGAUGUCAGAUUAGGUAGUUGGUGGGGUAAAGGCUCACCAAGCCAACGAUCUGUAGCUGGUCUGAGAGGACGACCAGCCACACUGGGACUGAGACACGGCCCAGACUCCUACGGGAGGCAGCAGUGGGGAAUUUUGGACAAUGGGCGCAAGCCAGAUCCAGCAAUGCCGCGUGCAGGAAGAAGGCCUUCGGGUUGUAAACUGCUUUUGUACGGAACGAAACGGCUCUGGUUAAUACCCGGGGCUAAUGACGGUACCGUAAGAAUAAGCACCGGCUAACUACGUG
rnacentral:rRNA from 1 species